UACAGGGGGGUGCAAACGUUGCUCGGAAUCAUUGGGCGUAAAGCGCACGUAGGCGGUUCGUUAUGUCGGAUGUGAAAGCCCUUGGCUUAACCGAGGAAGUGCAUCCGAAACUGGCGAGCUAGAGUACUAAAGAGGAUCGCGGAAUUCCCGGUGUAGAGGUGAAAUUCGUAGAUAUCGGGAGGAACACCGGUGGCGAAGGCGGCGAUCUGGGUAGAUACUGACGCUGAGGUGCGAAAGCGUGGGGAGCAAACAGGG
rnacentral:rRNA from 1 species